rnacentral:misc_RNA from 1 species
UCCGGACAGAACGACCGACGAUACGAAGAGGCUUUAGUUCACCACCGCAUGUCGGGACGCUCUAGGCGCCCUUAGCUCGGAUUUUGGCCAACCGCGUGCGGUAACACACGGGAGACCAGCUUCCGUCCCAUAUCCGAGAAGGAUGAGAGGGACGACGGUUUGUGACACCCAGGCAGACGUGCCCUCGGCCAGAAGGCUUGGGGCGCAACUUGCGUUCAAAGACUCGAUGGUUCACGGGAUUCUGCAAUUCACACCAAGUAUCGCAUUUCGCUACGUUCUUCAUCGAUGCGAGAGCCGAGAUAUCCGUUGCCGAGAGUCGUUUUAGACUUUUGAUCGCAGCUCACCAAACGCACACCCCCCGUCUCCGGAGAGGCGAAGGCUUGCUGUUCAUAUGCAUGUUCCUUGACACUUUUCGUGCCGUGGUUUUGUGAUAUCCGGAAGCUACKCGCACAACCCAAACAAAGAGAGAGCUCCCGGUAAGGAUUGUUCACGAAACCACGGAUUSGGCAAAA